GAGCGCGGCCAAUGGGAGCGCGCGCCGGGGGGGCCGCCGGGGCCCAACGGGCGUCGGUCGCUCCGCGCGUGCGCCGCAGUUUCGGCGCUGAGGGGCGGGUGGCGGUGUCGGCUCUGCCGCGGGCCGCAGCGCAGCGAUGGAGCCGGGAUACGGCGGAUACGGCACUUGGAGCGCGGGGGCCACCAACACCCAAGGUACCUACGCCACGAACGCCCCGAGUUGGCAAGGCUAUGAAGGCUAUGACUACUACAACCCCCAAACCACUUCCGCCAACACGGCGGCCACGUACAACUACGCCGCAACCUCCAGCGGUUGGGAGACACCUAAAGCUUCGGAGCUGAGCCUCAGCGCCGACGUCGGCGCCACCAUGUCCGUCCCCUCCUACGGCACCGAGACUUCGGCCAACGAUAACUCCGAUUCCAUCAUCGCCAAAAUCAACCAACGGCUGGAUAUGCUGUCCAAGGAGGGCAGCGGCGGUGCCGGGGACGGCAUGGACGACCAGGAGAGCUCUUUCCGAUUCGAAUCCUUCGAUUCAUACGACUCGAGGUCUUCGCUCAACGACCGUGACAUGUACCGAUCCAGCUAUGACUACGGAGAAGUCGGAACCGACCGGAACGAUUCCUUCGGGAGCCAAUUUGAUAACCGUAGGGAUCAAUCUCGCAACCGAGGAAACAACUACGGGCUGAUCCGAGGCCGAGCUCAAAACCGCGUUCAAAACCGCGGCCGUCUGAACACUUUCAACCGCUCCGACCACUUCAUGCCCUCCUCCAGCUCCGAACGCCUCUCGGCUCGUUGGAAUGAGUUAAACUACAUGGGUGGGCGUGGGAUGGGAGGGGCCGGAUCCAACAGGCUCCCUUCACUCUUUUCCCAAGCCCUCGUUCCCGAUUACAGCGACUACGGAGAUUAUGGAGAUUACGGUGACUACGGCGAUUACGGGGAUUACGGGGAUUAUGGCGAUUACGGAGAUUACGGUGACUACGGAGACUAUGACUAUGGCAUGAUGGGGAUGUCGGGAAUGGGACGGUACGGGAACGUCCCGUAUGGAAUGGGGAGGCAGCGAAACAGAGACAGGAUGGGGACGGUGCCCUGGCACACCAACACGCUCACGCCCAAGAGAAGAGGUUUUCGAAACCGUUCCGGAGGGCGAUCAGACAGUGAGGGAGGAGGAAGGAAACGAAAGCAGUCACAAAGCGGAGAUGAACCGGAUGGCAAACAGGCCAAGACGGACAGCGAGGGAGACAACACGGAGAACGAUGAGGGCGACGGGGAGGAGAAAUCGGGAGAUGAAGCUGACAGAGCAUCUGGAGACGGCUGUGAAGACGACGAUGAGGAGGUGAAAAAGAAGAGGGAGAAGCAGCGGAGAAGAGACAGGAUGCGCGAUCGUGCUAUGGACAGAAUCCAGUUUGCCUGUUCCGUCUGCAAGUUCCGCAGUUUUGAGGAAGAAGAGAUCCAGAAGCAUCUCCAGAGCAAGUUCCACAAGGACACUUUGCGAUACAUCGGUACCAAACUCCCAGAUAAAACCGUUGAGUUUCUGCAGGAAUACAUCGUCAACCGGAAUAAGAAAAUCGAGAAGCGCCGCCAGGAGCUGACGGAGAAGGAGGGCACGAAGCAGAAACCGGAUCCUUUUAAGGGGAUUGGCCAGGAACACUUCUUCAAGAAGAUCGAGGCGGCUCACUGCAUGGCGUGCGAUAUGUUGAUCCCCGCGCAGAACCAUCUUCUCCAGAGGCACCUCCGAUCCGCCGACCACAACAGGAACCGCAGGAUGGCGGCGGAGCAGUUCAAGAAAACCAGCUUGCACGUCGCCAAGAGCGUCUUGAACAACAAACACAUCGUAAAGAUGCUGGAAAAAUACCUCAAGGUGAGUGAACGAGGGAGACGGCAGCUCCCGCCGAGGUCCCGGAGCAACCAGAGCCGCGUCCUGCUGUGCCGCACGGACGGGAGAAGCGGAGCUUUUGCUCCACUGCAGUUUUCUUUCUGCAUCUCGAGUCCGGUUUGUCUUCUCUGUAGGCACUUUCCCUCUUCUUGUGUGUGUGUUUUUCCGGAGCUCGCAGCCUGUACUCGCUGCCUCCUUCCCAGGUGCCGGGUAGAUCCGUUCCGGAACCAUCCAAAGCUGAAAAGGAAUUAAAGGAACCAAAGUAGCCAAAGGAGCUCCAGGUUCCCAAAGCCGCUGUGCGCGUGAGGCCUUGGGGAGGCCUCCGAUUCCUCCCCGGUGCAGGGAAAGCAGCGGGUGGGAUGGGAAGGCACCGUUUGAGUCCUGCCGGGAUUGACUCCGAUGUGGACGGCUCCUGGCCCGCCUGCUGGCCUUGCAUCAGGGACGGAAUGCUUAUCUCGUUAGAGCUGAGCUCUGGUUUAUCUCAAAGAGCUGAGCUCCGGUGCUCCGGGCAGCGCGUCCCGAGGUAAGGGGAGGCCAUCCAGUUUCUAGGAGCCGGAAUGCUUUCCUUAGCCCCCUUUUUUUCCUCCUCUUCCUUUGGGAAGUGGCAGAGAUCGCCCCAACCGAUCGUCUGAGCCGGGAUGGAGCACGAGGAGAGGUCGGGGUAGGGUUGGCUUAAGCCUAAAGCAGCGUGUGGAAUGACGAAGGCCGGAAGGCAAGCGCGGUCUUGGCAGCGUUUGGGGGGUUUUCCGCUCCGUGCGGGAACGUCGCUGGGCGUGUGUGCUGAGCCUAAAGCACCUCGCGGUAUCCGCGGGUCCGGCGUGGGUUUAACGGGCGAGGUCUGCAUCCGAGAGAGGAAAGGUCGCAACCUCCUCCACCAGGCGAAGAGGAAAAGAAGCGCUUUUGGCUACUUGCUUGUUCCCUGGGAAUCCGGGAACGGCCCAGGAUCCGGCAGGAGAAGCCCUUGUGUGCAGCCAAGGGCGGGCAGAUGCCGACACACGGCCCCCUACGGGGGAGCAGACUCUUUCCCCUCGCCCACCGGAGUCCCGGUUGGGAAUGUGGCCCAAACCUGGACGGAGCUGGCUCUCGUCAGGCCCGGUCUGUGCUCAGAUCCAUAAAACUGGCGACUCCGCUUUGGGAGUCCGGGGGAACGGAGCCGCUGAGCUGAGCGUGCCGGCGUGGGAUGGCCGUGUCCCUUAAACCGCUCUUGUUCCUCUUGACCAGGAGGGUGAGGGCAAACCCCACCCGAGAAGGAGAGAGCCCUCGGGGCAGAGGAGGUGCGAACCUCCAGGAUCUCUCCGAGAGAUUUAAACCAUAAAUAAAACUCCCCUCUCCCCAAAAAGGCCGGGACCGCUCAAGUGCAACUCCGUCUACCCCUGCCAGGGUCCGCAGGCACGGCCUCCUCUCCUCAUGAGCUCCGGUAUCAAAGGCUGCCGGCAGAGCUAACUGCAUCGGCACGGGACCUUUGGCCAGCGGCACGAGGAGAUCUUCGGAUCCAUCCCAGCACGGGCUCCGUAUCAUUCCCAGGUGCAAAACCAGACUGAAAAGGGGUGGAAGGAAAAUCUGAGGAUUCCAGGGAGAAGAUCCGUUUACGGAUGAAAUCGCAGAUCAGGAGGUGGAUGAAGCUUUGGAUGGCGGCGACGGCACCGGGGAAGGAGUGACUGAAACCGCCACUGCGGAGGUUGCCCAGGAAGGCGAAGGAGGAAUCGGAGA